rnacentral:rRNA from 1 species
GAUGAACGCUGGCGGCGUGCCUAAUACAUGCAAGUCGAACGCUGGAAAUCUAGCUUGCUCGCUUGAAGGAGUGGCGAACGGGUGAGUAAUACAUAAGCAACCUACCCACGAAGACUGGGAUAAUCUCUGGAAACGGGGACUAAUACCGGAUAGGUAAUCGGAAGGCAUCUUCUGAUUAUUAAAGGUUAAAAACACUGGUGGAUGGGCUUAUGGCGCAUUAGUUAGUUGGUGAGGUAACGGCCCACCAAGACGAUGAUGCGUAGCCGGCCUGAGAGGGUGAACGGCCACAUUGGGACUGAGACACGGCCCAGACUCCUACGGGAGGCAGCAGUAGGGAAUUUUCGGCAAUGGGGGAAACCCUGACCGAGCAACGCCGCGUGAGUGAUGACGGCCUUCGGGUUGUAAAGCUCUGUUGUAAGGGAAGAACGGUAGAUAGAGAAUAUCUAAAUGACGGUACCUUACCAGAAAGCCACGGCUAACUACGU